rnacentral:lncRNA from 1 species
GCAAGUGGCUGCAUUGCAACAACAACAAAAAAAAUACACAAAUCAAUUUCUGUAGACUGUUUUGUACCCCAGGAAUUAACUUUAUGAACUCCAGAACCUCCAAACAAGCAUGAUUUCUUACAAUCGUAAAAUCAAAUGGGAUCAGACUAGUUCCGCAUUUUAACAGUCGAAUAUGACACCUCCAAUUUGCAGUUUAAUUUUCUUUUGGAACAGUCACAAGAUUCACCUUGUUAAUCCUUCAAAAAAAGGCUUGGUAAAGUGACUUCAGGCUAACUCCCCAGGGGACUGUAUUAACUGAAGAAAAAAA